AUUUUAGCCAACCCUUCAUCCGUACAAUUGAACAGCCCUACAAUAGCCGCCAAUUCUUUAUCGAAGGCACCUAGUAGUGGAAUUUUGUACUGCUUUAUGGAAUUCUCAUUUUUUCCGUCUGCUUAGAUUUCGGAAUCAUCGUAAUGAAUUAAUGAUUGUGGCAUCGUGCUGAUAGAAGGACAAUUGAAGGUUGGUUAUUACGGGCUUACGGGUUAUUAUUAGAGCCACCUUUACGUUAACGGUUAAUCAAUUUGAACUCUUAUUACCCAACCCUGAACUGCUGGACCUAAACAUACAAUUUUGCUUGAAAUCGCAGAAAUCUCAAUCUCCACUCAGUUAAAUUUUUUUCCAUUGAGUCUGUUUCUGAAAGAAGGAUGUGUGCUGGGUGCUACUGGUUCUGUCUGGUUAGUGUUACAUCACUUAGAUUAAAUUUUAUGAAAAGUCUAGGUCUUUUGAGUACCUGAUGAAGUGAACACAAUCAUUCAAUGCCAGCCUAUUAGCCUAACCUACUCUAUCCUGAAUUGCUGAAGCUGUUAUUGAAUUGCCUGAUAUACUAGGUAUUCCAGUUUACAUGUUGAUCCACCUUAAGAUGAACAAGGAGCAAGGAAUGAGUGCAUGAGGGACAACAUAUCAGUGUCAGACAAUUGCUAGCCAGUGAGAAGAAUAUGGUGAUGGUGCUUAACCCUGUGGUAGGUAGUCCAGUUUGUGUGCAUGUUCAAGGGUUUGACAUUGAGGUAAUGUUGAAAUUUAUAAGAGAACCUAACCUGUAAAUGGAAACAGUUUUCUGGCUAUUUUCAGUGAAGAAAAUGACAACAACCAAGAUUUUAUUUGACUGGUUAUCACAGAUUAUCUACGGUUAUGUUAUUUUGCGUACCAUACUGAACAAGGAAUGUCUGGUUGUCCUUCCAAGAAAAACGACAAGGUUUGUUAAGCCUUCCCUUUGGCUACUACCCAUUGACCUCCAGCGCAGCGAUACCGGAAUAUUAACUCCAGCAUCACCUCCAACCGCAUGGCACUGCUCACUGGCGUGCAGUCCUUCCGUCGCCGGAAGCAUAGGAGAGUAGGGCGUGCUACCAGCAACAUUCGACUUCUCAACCGACGGCCCCCACUACUUCUUACUACUUAACACAGCACGGAGCUUUGAUCUUCAGAUUGUUUAGCUGUUUGUGAUUGGUGAUGACGCCAUGGCGGUUUCUUGGGGAAGAGGAGAUGAUAAUGAUUUUCGUCAGGAAAAUAUUGCAUGACAUCUGGCUGACAGAUUCGCCUUCAGUUGUUGGAGCGUACGCAUAGGCCGCUAGCCUUUUAGCCUCUACCUUCUUCUCAGUUGAAGCGUGGGUUUUGAUAGAAAGGCACCUAUUAAAACAUGGAGCUUCACUUCAGCCAUCUGAUUCAUCACUUGGAUCCAAGUGUGCAGGCUGCAUGAAUUUACGUUUGCUGUGAACAUCAAUUACAUGUCCACUGAUUGAAGGCCCUUAAAGUUAGAAUUCCAGUUUCAGUGACAUGAAGAGUGUGAAGUGAAUAACCUGCCAUGUGCUACAUUUACCAGAUCUGCUUGAUGAAAGUAAAAUGCCUUACUGAAUUCGUCACCCAAAUGAUAAAGCAUCAUUAUCACCUUUUGCCAUGCUACUACGAGUUACUGACUGAGAAGUUGCACCCACCUGCAGUCACUCGCCACAGGAUUAUGCCC
rnacentral:lncRNA from 1 species